CCUUGUUCUGCCUCACUGUUGUGGCAUCUCAGUCUUGGAUGCUGUCCCUCCUCCCUCAGCCCCACCUUCAGAGACAGAGACCACAUGACUCAACUGCCGAGACGGAGACCAUGUGACUAACCUUCAGAGAGGGAGACCAUGUGACUUGCUCUCCUGCCUAGCAUCUCUCACAGGGCCACUAGGAAGAGACGAUAGAGAGGGAGACAGACAUCGCUUCUCCCUCUCCUCUGUACUGCUGCAGCCUAGCAGAGCUAGAGGGGUGGGGGAGGGUUUUGGUCUCUGCACAGCAGUAGGAGGAGAUGAUGAAGCAGGAGGAUGAGCUACUUACUACCAGCCUUCCUGCACGCAGAGAGAGGAGACAGAGCUAGCUUGACUGAAGACAGCACCAUCUCUCCUGAUUAGCACUGAAGAUCCUGGGAAAGCAGCCUGCAUUGAUUGUAUGAAGAGACCCAGUGACAAAGCAGAGUCAUGCAGAAUGAGGGACACCCUCCCUCCAAAGCACAGGAUGGCAAACUAAGACUCUCCUGUAUACGGCAAAGAGAGGACGGUUCAAGCCCCACGCUAUGGUCCGAUAGAAAUCUUUUCUCUCAUCCUUGGACAUCUCAAAAAUUAUUUCAGUUGCAUCUUUAAUACCAUGUGCCUA